GGUGCAUCUUCAGGAUGUAACUGAGUGUAGCUUUACUGCAGCCAAUUGAAACUGCUGAGGAUUUGCCCAAAGAUUCCUUGUGUACCAUUCCCUCACUACAUUCAUUCAUAGUUUUGAAACAGGUGUGUAGUGCCUGGUCAUCCCCAUGGAGCUCCUGCCUCCUUCUGGGCUAUCACUGCACCUGCUCUAGUUUGGACAGCUUCAUUCAGAAUCUGCUGUUGCCUGUUCCAUGUUGGACUCGUGGCUGCUGCAUCAGCACAGACACGGGUGAUUGGAUCUUCCUUGCCUCCUUCGCUCCCACUUCUCCCAGGAUUGUGCUGCCUAGUCCAGACCUUUGACUAUUUUGUGCAUAGGCAACUUCAGCAACAGAGAUGGGUGAUGAGUUGUGCAGCCUCAUCAUACAGAGCUAAAGGCAAAGGGGAGUCAGCCAAGCGUGUGCUCACAAGACUUUGGUGGUACUUCUUUAGACCCAUCACUGUUGUAUCUGUCAGUUGGAGUCAGCUCUCUUAGACCCUCCCAAAAGUUGCAGCAUGUUUGUUAACGAGUGGAUAUAUGCUCUAGAGAGACGUUUGUGCUAUGCAAUUCAUCAUUCACCGAGGACCUUGUUUCUGCAGGUACAUCUCCUAAAUGGUUCACUUGGCAUCAGGAAUAGUCUUGCUGAAGCAUCUCAUCAGUGCACAUACAUAUUUAUGGGUGGUAAUAACAUAUUUUCAUGAACUAGUUGCUGCUUGGCUUCCUAAAAAUAUGUUUAAGAAACUGCUUCUGUACCAAUCCAUGUUAUGAUAGUCAGCUCUUCACUUCUUCAAAACAUAUAUUUAAAUUUCCAUCUAAAGCAUAUUGGCUCCACAGUGAGCUCCUUAAGGGUUGGCAUUGCACUGUUAAUGCCCAGCCAGCACUUCUGUAUGUGUGCAUGUGAUGAUUGUACUUGGGAAUCAGAUGGUGCUGCUUUUGAUUGAACCUGAACUUUGUGUAUUUCAAGCAGAAUUCUCACUAUGAGGGACAGGGGGAGGGUGCAGCAUCAGGCCCUUUAUCAUAGAAUUAUAGAAUGGCCUGGGUUGAAAAGGACCUCAAAGAACAUCUAGUUUCAACCCCCUGCUAUGUGCAGGGUCGCCAACCAGCAGACCAGGCUGCCCAGAGCCACAUCCAGCCUGGCCUUGAAUGCCUGCAGGGAUGGGGCAUCCACAGCCUCCUUGGGCAACUUGUUCCAGUGCACCACCACCUCUUUCCUACAGAUACCUCCAAAGAUUUAUUUUAUUUUGGCUGUAAUGGUGAAAACAAAUUCACAACUCAUGUGGGUUAAAGAUCUUGUCACACAAAUUUAAGUACAAAGUGCAUUUUACAUUCAAGCUGUGAACCCUUGGAAAUAGGAGCUUAUAAGGACAUUGCAGACAGAGAGUUUAGCAUUGCAGCAGAGUCGAUACCAGAAUGGUUGGCUAAAAUAAUCUUGUUUUUAAGGUAACAAUUUGGAUCUGUUUUUACACAAAAAUGUCUUGAAAAUAGAGGGAAAGCAUUUCUUAGGAAGACUCAUAAAUGUGCUUUCAAAAUGCUAUUAAGAUUUAAGGCAUAAUGCAGAACUUAUAAAUCUACCCUGCAUUCUUUCACUAGGAAUGAGUGACAAUUAUGAAAACUAGGGAUUAUAAAUCAAGAACCUAAAUAAGGGUGUUGGUUUUUUUUGACAUGUAAAUAUAGAUUAUACAUUAGCUGAGCCCUGCCUUGCCGGCCUUGUGUUUCCACCAGGGGCAAACAAAGUGAGCAUUAUUCUCCUGAGCACCAGUUUUACAUUGUAAAAGCCAGUUAGCAAAAAUGUGGUGAAGCACUGCUGCUGGGGGAAGAUUGUCGAGAUUUGGGAGGGCGAACUUUCUGCUGUCUUGCUCGGUCCUGCUUUUUCAUCUUCCCAUUCAUUCACCUGCUGUGUUGGACUGUGUGUUUUCAUGGCUUUAACCAUGCCAAGCUGCCCUUCAAAACAGUGAAGGAAAUGCUGACAGCAUUCCAUUGCCCUACUGCAAAUAUAUAUAACCAUUUGGCCUCAUCCUAAUUUGUUUUUCAUGUUGUUUCCUGUCCCCACCCCAUAAUUCUUGGGUAAAAUUUGGUGCAGCAAUGCCCUCCAGCCCCCAGCCCCUAUCUGCAGGCCAGGCUCAUGGCAGCAGCAGUUUGCUCAGCCUUAUCUGCCCGACUCUUCUAUAUUUGAACAAGGAGGGUUCUUGUUAGCUGAACUUUUAUAUAAAACAUCACUUGCUUGGAUGGCUGACUUGUAAAGAAAGGGCAUCUAUCACUUCUGUGCGGCAUUUCAAAGAAGAAGGCAUUUAAUAACACGGUAAGACAAAGAAGGGAGUCUGUCUCAAUGCACAACUGGCUGGCUAAUGAUUAACUAACUUCUCAGUACUCAAUUGGUUUGUGGCAGAAAAAAACAGCACUGAGGCGAUGCUCAGCAUUGUGCUGAGGAGCUUGUUGCAGUGAAGAGGUACCAGAAAUGCACAGCUAUGAUACUUUUAAGUGCUUAUGUAUUUAAAUGCCUUGCUAGGCCAAGCUAUAGGAAACCGCACACAGUACCUUUGCACGUGCUGUGGUUUAUGAAAGCAGCAAUGCUCAGCCUGCAUCUUACCAAAUAGUCAUGAUCCUGCAAAUGGUUCAGCAAAGCCCCGUUGCCAUUGGAACUGCUGCAUGGCUCUGGCCUGCUUACAUUUUGGCCUAAAUUUCUUAAAAGGUGUUUGAACUUUGGUGAACCCAAAAAGCCUGCGCUGAGGACACGGGGCUGUGAUUAUUAAACACUUUUUCAAUGUCUCUAACAGCUUUCACCCAAAGACCUCAGGACACUUGAAUGCACUCAUGAUUAACUGCACUCUCUGCACUCUGUCCCAGUAGAAAACACCUGGGAAAGCCAUGUCAGCUCUGAAUAUACUUUCCCAACAUGAGGACACAGUGGAGUGGGACCUGGACCAAAAUCUAGUUUAAAAUACUUCACGCACCGAAGCGGUUCUGCUUUCCAGCUCUGCAUUUUGAGUGGCCCUUUUCUUCACUGUGAUUUAAAUCGUUAAAACCACUUCCAAACUCCAGACAAAACACAGAUACAGUGCAGCUCACUACCAAAUUAUACGCUGAGA